GUGAUUCGGGGAUGACUAGUGUCAGGUUCUUAUGGUGGCUGUCCAGGUGUGUAAAAUACACCUGUAACCUAGGGACGGUCAAUUCCGGUGCCAACUACCCCGGUAUCACCGCCGGCCCGAGUGCCGAUCUUUAUUAUUGCGUCUAAAGGGUCCUUAUGCGGUUAGGUCAUUUCCUCCGGGAAAUCUGACGGCUCAUCCGAUAUGUUUUCCGGGGAUAUUGACAAGCUUGGAACCGGGAGAGGUAAAAGGUACUACAGGGGUAGGAGUGAAAUCUUGAAAUCCCUGUGAGACCACCCGUGACAAAUGCUUCUUACCAUAACGGGUUCUACGGUCAGGGACGAAAGCUGGGGGCUCGAACCGGAUUAGAUACCCGGGUAGUCCCAGCCGUAAAUAAUGCUCCCUAGGUGUCAGGUGUGGUUCGACCGUGUCUGGUGCCGCAGGUAAGCCGUGAAACUAGCCACCUGGUAAUUACGGUCUCAAGGCUGAAACUUAUAUGAAUUGUGGGGGGACCAC
rnacentral:rRNA from 1 species